rnacentral:rRNA from 1 species
AUUGAACGCUGGCGGCAUGCCUUACACAUGCAAGUCGAACGGCAACAGGCCUUCUGGUGCUGGGGAGCGGCGGACGGACGGGUAAUUCAUCGAACCGUACCCGGAGUUGGGGGGUAACGCAGCCAAAGAUAUGCGGAUAAAUACCGCGUACUGACGACGAAAGAGAGGGACGGAGCUGCAAUGCUUGGCCUCGCGGCUUUGCAGCGGCCGAUGUCGGAUUAGCUAGUUGGUGGGGUAAAGGCCUACCAAGGCGACGAUCAGUAGCUGGUCUGAGAGGACGACCAGCCACACUGGGACUGAGACACGGCCCAGACUCCUACGGGAGGCAGCAGUGGGGAAUUUUGGACAAUGGGCGCAAGCCUGAUCCAGCAAUGCCGCGUGCGUGAAGAAGGCCUUCGGGUUGUAAAGCGCUUUUGGCAGGAAAGAAACGGUGGCCGCUAAUACCGUGCGGGAAUGACGGUACCGGAAGAAUAAGCACCGGCUAACUACGUG